rnacentral:sRNA from 1 species
UAUCUCUCCGUACGGGGAAGGAUGAGAAGCUUCGACCAAGGUUCGAUUCGAGCGUCAGCGAGAAAGCGUUGCCGCAGGCAACGACCCGAAGGGUGAGGAGCGGAGCGACGAAUAAUCCUUCCCCCACCAUCA